UGUUCGGAAUCACUGGGCGUAAAGGGAGCGUAGGCUGCGCGGUAAGUCAGAUGUGAAAUCCCGGGGCUCAACCCCGGAACUGCAUCCGAUACUGCCGUGCUUGAGGGUUGGAGAGGUAGCUGGAACUCUCGGUGUAGCAGUGAAAUGCGUGGAUAUCGAGAGGAACACUCGUGGCGAAGGCGAGCUACUGGACAACAUCUGACGCUGAGGCUCGAAGGCCAGGGGAGCAAAAGGGAUUAGAUACCCCUGUAGUCCUGGCAGUAAACGGUGUGCGCUUGGUGUGAGGGGAUUCGACCCCCCUUGUGCCGGAGCUAACGCGUUAAGCGCACCGCCUGGGAAGUACGGCCGCAAGGCUAAAACUCAAAGAAAUUGACGGGGACCCGCACAAGCGGUGGAGUAUGUGGCUUAAUUCGAUGCAACGCGAAGAACCUUACCAAGGCUUGACAUGCAUCUCUAAGCGCGUGAAAGCGCGUGACCCUUCGGGGGAUUUGCACAGGUGCUGCAUGGCCGUCGUCAGCUCGUGUCGUGAGAUGUUGGGGUUAAGUCCCGCAACGAGCGCAACCCCUGUGACUAGUUGCCAGCGAGUAAUGUCGGGGACUCUAGUCAGACUGCCCAGAUCAACUGGGAGGAAGGUGGGGACGACGUCAGGUCAGUAUGGCCCUUACGCCUUGGGCUGCACACGUACUACAAUGCCCAGCACAAUGAGAACCGAGACCGCGAGGUGGAGGAAAUCUGCAAAACUGGGCCCAGUUCGGAUUGGAGGCUGCAACUCGCCUCCAUGAAGCCGGAAUCGCUAGUAAUGCUGCAUCAGCUACGGCAGCGUGAAUACGUUCCCGGGUCUUGUACACACCGCCCGUCAC
rnacentral:rRNA from 1 species